GCAAGCGUUGUUCGGAAUUACUGGGCGUAAAGGGCUCGUAGGUGGCCAACUAAGUCAGACGUGAAAUCCCCAGGCUCAACUUGGGAACUGCGUCUGAUACUGGAUGGCUUGAAUUCGGGAGAGGGAUGCAGAAUUCCAGGUGUAGCGGUGAAAUGCGUAGAUAUCUGGAGGAAUACCGGUGGCGAAGGCGGCAUCCUGGACCGAGAUUGACACUGAUGAGCGAAAGCUAGGGGAGCAAACGGG
rnacentral:rRNA from 1 species